CAUCAGACCCCUGUGACGCUCAAAGACAAUCUGAGACAACGGCUUUGUUAGUGGAUCUGCAAUGUUAUCUUCGGAUGGAACUCUUUCCACUGCUAUAUCUCCUCAGGUUACGAUCUCUCUGAUAAGUUGGAACAUCCUCAGAACACUUCUGAUGAGACCCGGGUUCCCUUAUUUAAGUAAUCGCCCCGUUGUUGUCGCAAUAUAAGGAAGUCGG
rnacentral:lncRNA from 1 species